rnacentral:rRNA from 1 species
AGUGAACGCUGGCGGUAGGCCUAACACAUGCAAGUCGAACGGCAGCACAGUAAGAGCUUGCUCUUACGGGUGGCGAGUGGCGGACGGGUGAGGAAUACAUCGGAAUCUACUUUUUCGUGGGGGAUAACGUAGGGAAACUUACGCUAAUACCGCAUACGACCUACGGGUGAAAGCAGGGGAUCUUCGGACCUUGCGCGAUUGAAUGAGCCGAUGUCGGAUUAGCUAGUUGGCGGGGUAAAGGCCCACCAAGGCGACGAUCCGUAGCUGGUCUGAGAGGAUGAUCAGCCACACUGGAACUGGAACACGGUCCAGACUCCUACGGGAGGCAGCAGUGGGGAAUAUUGGACAAUGGGCGCAAGCAUGAUCCAGCCAUACCGCGUGGGUGAAGAAGGCCUUCGGGUUGUAAAGCCCUUUUGUUGGGAAAGAAAAGCAGCAGGUUAAUACCCCGCUGUUCUGACGGUACCCAAAGAAUAAGCACCGGCUAACUUCGUG